GAAGCAGAGAAGGAGAAAAGUGCUCCUUAAGAACCCAAAGAGAGAGGAGGAAGAGCCCAUUUGCUUCCUGCCAGCUUUCCAAUUCCCAGCACCAGUCUGUUGUGAGGAAUUUCUAGUCUUAAACUAGAGGAUACCCAGAUGAAUUCUUGUCCUUGUGACCUGCAAGAUAACCUAACUCCUCAGGAUUGCUUUCCCUGUGUUUAAGUUAGCGCAAGUGAGUUUGUUUUGGUCAAGCAAAUCAUCCCUUAUGAAGACAGCCCUGCCAGGAGAGGUCACCAGUAAAUCACUUGCCUAAACAAUCAUCACCUUCAAAUGUUCAGUGCUGGUCCCAGAUGUCGUAAUCUCUCUUGGCUUCGUUUGAUGCUCUGGAAAGAAGUUUCCUUGGAGAUCUUCCAAAUCCAGGACUGGAAACUUGUUAUCACAUGAAUUUAAGGCCACGUCAGAUCUCGGCUUUCAAAAUCAUCACAGCUUACCUCUCCUCUAACACAACUGAACUGUGGCCUGCAGGCGAAGGUGCCCAAGUCUUGGCUGAUCCCUUCUAGAUGGAGUUCUGGGGUCUUGUUUUUGGAAGGAACAACUCUUGGCCUGGAGAUGAUGAUCUACUGACAUCAUUCUCCCCGUGGUCAUUCCUGCAGGAAUUCCAGAAGAAAAGCAAAGCAUCUACCUUAAUUAGAAUAGGUACAAAAUAUCUUCCAGCUGUUGGCCUUUCGUGAGGGUGAUAAAGUUUCUUUUACUGAGUACUUUUCCUCUGGUUUAGGCUCAGUUAAACGUCAUCCAUAAGGUAUCCACCAUAGGGAUGCAAAUCACUUUUGAAUUAGAAUCCCUCACCAUAGGUUCAGGGAUAAGGGCCAAGAGUACUCAACUAUGUUCCAUGGCGUUUUCUUUUUGAGAGACAUUGCGAAGAGUUAGAUGUUUCUAGAAGUGAAUGUCUGUUUUCUCUGCAUUGGAAUGUGGCUAUUAUCUUCAUCACUGCUUAGUCCCUUCAACUAGUAUAUGGUCAUUGAUGUAGACUGAGAGUUGUACCUGGAAGAGGUCUUGUACAAGGAAGAAAAAGUUGAUUCUCCCAUAAUUUCCAUCAACGAACCUCCUCUAGCCAUUCCAAUGAACAUACAACCUCAGUGGAAAUAAUGAACGUCUCUGCAGGAGCACUUCACUUCCACGCUAUGACCACACCAUCCCCUUUCUUCUGCCGUAUUGUCCCCAAACACCUCUGGUUAGAAGUUUUGGAGGACCUUGACUGGAAUUCAGACAAUCUUAUUGGAACUUUGAGAAUUGUGUACUUGGAUAAUUAGCGUACAAUCUCCACCAUUCAACCUGAUGUUUUGUUUUGUUGUUUUCCCUUGGAUACAUAUAUAGAUAUCUUUUCACAGGCUAAAGUUUUUUUUUUAAACAGGGUCUCACUUUGUCACCCAGGCUGGAGUGCAGUGGUGCAACCACAGCUCACUGCAGCCUCAACCUCCUGCGCUCGAGUAGUUCUCUCUCCUCAGCCUCCUGAGUAGCUGGGACUACAGGUUCACCACCGCACCCAGCUAAUUUUAUUUAUUUAUUUAUUUUUGUAGAGAAGGGCUUUUGCCAUGUUGCCCAGGCUGGUCUCAAACUCCUAAGCUCAAGCAAUCCACCCACCUCCACCUCCCAAAAUGCUGGGGUUACAGGCAUGAGCCACCGCUCCCAGCCUGUGAUAGGUUAAAGUUGAAACAGCCGAAUCAUGUCCUCUUGACCCUCAACUGAUUGAUCCAGGAUAGCCACAUUGAUGAGCAUUCCAUUAUAUCAGGCUGCCAUCUGGGUUAGCCCAGUUUCUGUGAGGACUUUGUAAAUGAUAUGUAAUUUGUUCAUUCAUUUAGUAAAUGUG
rnacentral:lncRNA from 10 species